GGGGGCGACACGGCUUCGACGGGGGCAAGGGAUCGUGGGAUGCAUGCCGAGCCAUUUCCACCCGACUCGUUAAACCGGCGGAAACACAAUGCAACUGCGGACACGCAGCUCGCACUCGCGGCCUAAUCCCCGCGACGUGCACCCUCACCAGCCUGCGGGUGGGGAGUGCACGCCAUUUAGCAGGCUGGUUCUCUAGCGCGUCCGGCGCCUGAGGACGAGACUUCACGGACUAGCGGCCGGCACGUUCGUCGAACUUCGAUGACGGUCGCGAACCUUUAAGUUCGACUACGCAUGUAGACGCCUACGGUGACAGGCCUUUCGGACGCGGGUUCGACUCCCGCCGCCUCCACCA
rnacentral:tmRNA from 1 species